CUCGCGAGAGUGGUGUCUGCGUGUCCGGACGUGCGGAGGUUGUCACUUUCAUCAUGGCGCCCAAGGUAGCGACGGCCGCCAGUGGCGCUGCGAAGACGGUGCUCAGGCCAGCCCUUCUCUGCCGUCCCUGGGAGGUUCCAGGCGCCCAUGAGGCCCCCUCGAGGAGCAUCUCCUCACAACGGACGAUUCCUUCCUCAGCUAAGUAUGGCGGGCGGCACACGGUGACCACGAUCCCAGGCGAUGGCAUCCGGCCGGAGCUCAUGCUGCACGUGAAGGCCGUUUUCAGGCACGCCUGUGUACCAGUGGACUCUGAAGAGGAGCACGUGAGUUCCAACGCUUAUGAAGAGGACAUUUGCAACGCCAUCAUGGCAAUCCGCCGGAACCGUGUGGCCCUGAAGGGCAACAUCGAAAUCACCCAUGACCUGCCACCAUCCCACAAAUCCCGAAACAGCAUCCUUCGCACCGGCCUGGACCUCUAUGCCAACGUCGUCCAAUGUAAAAGCCUCCCGGGCGUGGUGACCCGGCACAAGGACAUAGACAUCCUCAUUGUCCGGGAGAACACGGAGGGCGAGUACAGCAGCCUGGAGCGUGAGAGCGUGGCGGGAGUGGUGGAGAGCCUGGAGGUCAUCACCAAGGCCAAGUCCCUUCGCGUUGCCAAGUAUGCCUUCAAGCUGGCGCAGGAGAGCGGGCUCAGGAGAGUGACGGCCGUGCACAAGGCCACCAUGAAACUGGGCGACGGGCUCUUCCUCCAGUGCUGCAGGGAGGUGGCAGCUGGCUACCCCCAGAUCACCUUUGAGAAGAUGAUUGUGGACAACACCACCAUGUAGCUGGCAUCGCGGCCCUAGCAGUUUGAUGUCGUGAUGAUGCCCAUUCUCUAUGGCAGUGUUGUUGGCAACGUCUGCGCAGGACUAGUCGGAGGCCCAGGCCUUGUGGCUGGGGCCAACUGUGGCCAGGUGUAUGCGGUGUUUAAAACGGCUACGAGGAACACCGGCAAGAGUGUCGCCAAUAAGAACAUCGCCAACCUGACGGCCACCCUGCUGGCCAGCUGCACUCCCAUACCACCUCCAUCCGUCAGGCUGUCCUGGCGUCCGUGGACAAUGAGAAGAUGCACACCCCAGACAUCGGGGGCCAGGGUACAAGAUCUGAGGCCAUCCAGGACUUUAUCCACCACAUCCGCGUCAUCAAAGGCCGGGCUGUGGAGGCUUCGGCUGGCCCUGGAACCUUGGUUUGCUCCUCAGAUCCCCCGUCUCACUCCAGCACCCCAGCCAGCCUGGUAGGCAGAGCCCAGAAUAAAGCAGCUUCACCUCAAUAA